UUUGCCAGCGCUUAAUUGCGCGGCGAAAACCUUACCACUAUGUUUUUUUAAUUUGAAACUAUUGCUUUGGUCUGGCUUAGAAAUAGGUUGGGCCAAAGGUUUUAUCAAAACUUCAAUAUUUAUUAUUGAAUUGUUAUUUUUAAUUUUAUGUCAAUUUGUUGAUUAAUAUCAAAAAUCUUCAAAACUUUCAACAACGGAUCUCUUGGUUCUCGCAUCGAUGAAGAACGCAGCGAAAUGCGAUAAGUAAUAUGAAUUGCAGAUUUUCGUGAAUCAUCGAAUCUUUGAACGCACAUUGCGCCCUUUGGUAUUCCAAAGGGCAUGCCUGUUUGAGCGUCAUUUCUCUCUCAAAUCUUCGGAUUUGGUUUUGAGUGAUACUCUUAGUCAGACUAAGCGUUUGCUUGAAAUGUAUUGGCAUGAGUGGUACUAGAUAGUGCUGAACUGUUUUCAAUGUAUUAGGUUUAUCCAACUCAUUGACCAGUAAAGUAUUUGUUUAUUACACAGGCUCGGCCUUACAACAACAAACAAAGUUUGACCUCAAAUCAGGUAGGACUACCCCGCUGAACUUAAGCAUAUCAAUAAGCC
rnacentral:rRNA from 1 species